GAUUAAAAACAGUCUUGGUGCAAUGAAAAUAUAGGAAAAUAAAUAAAUUAACGAAUAUUCAAUAGUGCUUUUUUACUAAUAAAACGUCUAAUAUACGUAGAGCUCUAUCAUGACUCUACCAGUCGUAGUGUGAUAAGAACAAAUCUAAAGUGAUUAGAACAAAUCUAAAGUUUAUCAAAGAAGAAACACAACUACCUAUCCUCUAAUGGUAGUAACCAGUCACAUCGCAAGGACUGUUAACUAUGAAGUUUUAAGCAAAAGUUUGCGUUACUAGUAACAAUUCCUGUUGUAAGACGAGCCCGCUUGAUUUUACCAAUUCGCCUUAUGAUGAUGCCGCCGUAUUGAUUUUUUCACACGUCAAGAAGCGUCACGUAAAAAUGCUUAAAUGGAUUCAUCUAUUCUUCCUCUGAUGAUGCCGUCGAUGCAAUGCAACACUGUUGUUGAUCUCUAAAAAAGCGGAUUCUCCGGUUUCGCAAGCAGUUAUGUGGAAGUGGUACCAAUGAACAAACAGGGUAAAGAAGGCAAUCCGAAAUAACAUAGUACAGGAAUGUAAACAAAAAACUGUCUAGAGACAAAGGUAAAAUGUCAGUGAUCGAGCCAGUUACUCUUAAGCAACCCAUUGAACAUGAUUGUCCCCUAUCGCACCGUCAUAGUAAAACCGAGAUUCUGGUUACUCAGCCAUCGUUGAUUAAAAAUGGCACCGGGAUACUGGUUACAUAGAAGUAUAAAAGGAUGAUGUAACAGUGAUUAGGAAACUAAGCCGCUCUUGGAAUUUGGCAGUUCAAACAAAGAAGAUGUAUGAUGAUUAAGUGCUACUUAGAAACGAGCUAACCGCUUAUAUGUGACUGUGCAUCGAACUUUUCCAUCCUGUACACACUAUUCCAAAAAUUUCGUCGCUAUACAUGAUACUGUGGUCGUAUUCACCUUAGAGUUGUAAGCCACGGCACUAAUUAAAAAACGAACAUGUUACUGUAUCGCGGACAAGUAUUGAAAAGUUCGAAUACUUCGCAUGACAUCCGGAUUGAAGUCGUCUUCAGAUGCGAGAUGCCUGUCUCAAUUCCUCACGCUUGAGUACGAAUUAAUCAGACGCCGGAGCCUGCUUUCCAUACUGUAAUGGCAACGGCAUUUAUACCACGGAUGAUAACAGGAAAUGAAAGGAAUUCGUCGGAGUUCGAGUGUUAUGGAUCCUGCUGCUAGUUUGCAUAAAUUUGCUCGUUACGACUUUGUUGCUGACAAAUAUAUGAAAACUACAAUUUCAUACUGAGAGACUAAAUGUGAAAGAAUAAUGAACUGUAACACAAUUUGCAUGCUUAGUCAAAUUUGGCCAAAGGUAGUAUCUGUGGUAGUAGUAUAACUUGAACUCGUAAAAUAGGUACAGAAACAUUUUUAUGUGCUUCUAUACGUUAAGAAGAUUACAGCCCAUAAUCGCAAGGGAGUCUCACGUAGACAGGAAAUCCCAUAGGAAAUAAAUAUGCGAUUAUGGGCAGAUUAGAGAUCUAUUUAAAAGGUGAUGAUUUUAUGUUAAUUUUCAGAUAGGGCAGAUAAAAAAUAUAGUAAUAAUGUAGCAUGAGUUGCACUAAUGGGUUAUGUACCUAUUUUCGAUGCCAACCGUAAUUUUUGCUUAGUAGUUAGUUGAAAUUUUCUCAAUAAAUAAUUGAAGUAAUUAUUUUUUCUAAACUUGAAUAGUUCUUUUCCGCCCAUAAUCGCAGGUCUGUUCCAUGCGAUUAUAGGAUUAUCUAUCUACAUAUGACUGACUUACGUUUAUGGGCAGUUUUAUACCGGUACAGUUUAAACGGGGAGCACUGCGUUUGGCACAAGUUCCUAUGGUAUAAGUUCAUUUGGCAUAAACUGCCGUUAAUUGACAUUUCCAUGGGAUUCCCUAUGUACAUGGGACAAUUAUGCGUAGAACGGCAGUAAACUAGUUUGGCACAAUUAUCACUUGGUAUAACAACGAGUGACAAAUGCUUUCACAUAAUGGACGUUUGACAUGAACAAUACAUUUGUUUUGAAACUGAAAACAAUAUUGUAAAAUUAACUAGUUUUUAAAGCAGGAAUAAUUUGUACUUUUGAAAAUAAAUGCGCCGCUUCGGUUCCUUCACCA